UCAGCGAGCUCACGCUCACUAUCGGAUCGUUUUAGAAACAUCAGUGGCCAACAGAUCGCCAGAUCGUUGAGCUGCAUUGGCGGGAUUUCGCCGUCUUCGUUUCUCUUUCUUCGCGGACGAACACGCGCUGGGCCUGCAUCAAGCAGGACCCACGGUCCCUGACGGGAUAUGCGUUAGGGGCUUGUAGCUCAGUUGGUUAGAGCGCGCGCUUGAUAAGCGUGAGGUCGGAAGUUCAAGUCUUCCCAGGCCCACCACUUUCAUCGAGUGAGCAUUCGUCUUCUGGUUACGGGGCCAUAGCUCAGCUGGGAGAGCGCGUGCUUUGCAAGCAUGAGGUCGUCGGUUCGAUCCCGUCUGGCUCCACCAGAUGGUUUGAUCACCGAGAUCUUGCACCGUCGUCCGCGAAACAUCACUUCGCAUCCUGCUAGUCUGGAUAGACAGCAAGAUGCGUGUUUUCUGACAUCGUAAAGAGGAGAUCGAUCCGAGUUGGGUCGUGCAGCAGAUUGUUGCGCGAACCUUCAUUAUCUCCGGAUCAUUUUCGGCGCUCGCUUUCAGCCGUGAGGUUGAAUGCGAGUUGUAAAAUGAUCCUUUUAGCGAAGCUUGACCGCCUCGCUAUCGGAACGAUCUUACGAAGCAAGCUGGUCUUUCUAGUCAAUGUCCGGCUGCACGUAGCAUUCAUCGAGGGUGCGCGCCGUAAGGCAAUCGUGCAGACAACAUUCUGCCGAGUGUGUGGACAUUGAUAAUGAGAGCAAUCAAGUGCCUUAAGGGUGUUCGGUGGAUGCCUUGGCGCUGAGAGGCGAUGAAGGACGUGCUACGCUGCGAUAAGCC
rnacentral:misc_RNA from 1 species